rnacentral:rRNA from 1 species
UCGGGAAUUUUGGGCAAUGGGCGAAAGCCUGACCCAGCAACGCCGCGUGAGGGAUGAAGUAUUUCGGUAUGUAAACCUCGAAAGAAUGGGAAGAAUAAAUGACGGUACCAUUUAUAAGCUCCGGCUAACUACGUGCCAGCAGCCGCGGUAAUACGUAGGGAGAAAGCGUUGUUCGGCUUUACUGGGCGUAAAGGGCGAGUAGGCGGCGCGGUAAGUCACUUGUGAAAUCUCUGAGCUUAACUCAGAACGGCCAAGUGAUACUGCUGUGCUAGAGUGCGGAAGAGGCAACCGGAAUUCUUGGUGUAGCGGUGAAAUGCGUAGAUAUCAAGAGGAACACCUGAGGCGAAGGCGGGUUGCUGGGCCGACACUGACGCUGAUGCGCGAAAGCCAGGGGAGCAAACG